AAGAGAUACGAAUUGUUGCCGUGGUAUCCUAACUACAACAUCCCAUGGUAUUUAUCAAAUUGCUGUAUUUUAAGAUUAGCCGUGCAUAAAAUAGGCCAGUAUAUGACGUUUUACGUAAAGUCCAAGAUGGCAUUCAGUGUAGUGAGAACGUGUAUAUGUACAAGUUUGGGUUUAUGUAACAGUUAAGAUAUCAGCAUUUGUCGUAACUGAUUUUCAAAUAUAAAAUAAACAAUAUUUAGAAAAAAAGAAAAGAAAAUAAAAAAAUCGCAAAUUUUAAAAAUAUAAACAUCCUAUGUAGAGAUGCAUAGAAAACAGAAACUUAGGGCAGCCAUAUUGGCGGCCAUCUUGAUUUUUUUUUACUAUUCUACCCGCUUUGGCAACUUAAAAAUAAAUUUCCUAACUAGAUAUAAUUGACUUCCAAAUGCAAUAAAAAUUUUGCUUAGGCUAAAAAAGUAAAUAAAAGUGUCCUAUCUCUUGGACUAAUCAUUGUGUUUAUUUCUCACAUUCGUCUAAUGUGACAAUUUACAUACAACAACUAAUUAUAAACAUUUUACGCCAAUUUUGUUUUUUGAGAAAAACUAUAUUAAGAUGUAAAGAGCUAUUACGUCUUAUUGAUGGAUAGGACAUCUAAGUAAACGUUAAACGUCGACAUUUGUUUGCGUAUAUAGAUACUAACUGAUAGACUCUGAAUACAAGGAUACUCUUGAGGGAACUCUAAGCUAAGAUCAUGAAGAACGCACAACAAUCACCACUGCUUCUUAUCGGCAUUGUAGUCACGGUAGCAUUCUUCUCUGUUGAAGCGCAGAGGUUAAGGCCUGGCGCAGGCAGUGGCUAUAUGUAUCCCGGCUAUUCGAGCUAUAGGCCUGGCGGAGGCGGUAGCCAUACGUACCCCAGCUAUUCGAGCUAUGGGACUGGCGGAGGCGGUAGCCAUAUGUAUCCCGGCUAUUCGAGUAGCUAUAUGUCUGGCGGAGGCAGUGGCCAUAUGUAUCCCGGCUAUUCGGGUAGCUAUAUGUCUGGCGGAGGAAGCGG